rnacentral:rRNA from 1 species
UACGGAGGGGGCUAGCGUUGUUCGGAAUUACUGGGCGUAAAGCGCACGUAGGCGGCUUUGUAAGUUAGAGGUGAAAGCCCGGGGCUCAACUCCGGAACUGCCCUUAAGACUGCAUCGCUAGAAUUGUGGAGAGGUGAGUGGAAUUCCGAGUGUAGAGGUGAAAUUCGUAGAUAUUCGGAAGAACACCAGUGGCGAAGGCGACUCACUGGACACAUAUUGACGCUGAGGUGCGAAAGCGUGGGGAGCAAACAGG